UCCAGGUGCAUUUCCACAUGUGUGCAAGCUAGUUUAUAUGUGUGUAAGCUAGCUUGCACACAUGUGGAAAUGCACCUGGAUG